UUCCCAUAGCAAAAUCGUAACUCUAUCAUUGAUUCAGGUCCACAGGUGGCGUUGCGGCAUCGCCAUCCGCGCUUCUUGCCUUCCAUCUCCCUCACCCACAGCCGACGCCCUCUCCUCCGUCCUUCACCAGAAAAUCACCAACCUUUUCAAUUUCCUUUCGCACUCCCAUGAUCAGCGGCGAAGAUGAGAGGGCGAUAGAUCCGCGUGGGCGAGGAGGUGUCGCUGAUAGUCAGGGCGUGCCGGCUGGGUUUUGGUUAAGCUUCUCUUCGAUGUUUUCCUCUGGCAUGGGCGAGAGCAGAUCCUUGAGAUGACACUCCCAAUGGACGCUGCAGUGCCUCAUCGGCUGGGGCAUCUGAUCACCUGGGUAUCAACAAACUGGGAUGACCAUAUGGCAAUGCCUUGCUCCUGUAAACAGGGGAUGGAUUUAACGCCCACUGUGUCCCUCAGCUUCAUCAUCAGCCAAAAUCUGGAUGCGUCCUAUCUUUGAUCCUCCUGCACUCCUUGCCCCCUUGCAAGGAGGAGGACAACAUCCAGCAAGAUAUGGUGCUACAAAAAUAGUAAAUCAGGGCAAGAAAUCUCAAUGCAAGUGCAGCGGGUUUGCUUAGUACAUGUAUGUGUAAUCAGUUUUCAGCAAGUUUUUCGUACUUACAUCUCCUGUCAAGAGGGAAAAAAUAUCUAUCUACACCGACAGUCCAUGGUCCUGAAAUGUAUAUGUACAUA